GUCUCAUAAUUUUGCCAAGAGUCCCACAUUGCUCAGAAAACAAUUACUACAUACGAUUAUAUACUCUAACAUCAGAAGGAAAGCUUGUCCCUUCGGGGACAUCCGAUAAAAUUGGAACGAUACAGAGAAGAUUAGCAUGGCCCCUGCGCAAGGAUGACACGCACAAAUCGAGAAAUGGUCCAAAUUUUUUUUUUCAAUUCUGUCAUGAUUUUCCUUGUGAUUUCAUUAAGUUCUUUCUCCAGUAAUGGAUGUGAGAUUCUGACUGGUUGAAUUUUGGUUAUCUGAAGAUGUCAUCUUCUCAAGCUUCAGUUUUUUUUUAUUCAUUUUGGUAUUCUAGUAGUGAUUUUAUUUCUGCUAUGUUUUUUGGUAUCUGAAAAGAAAGUGCGUAUGAAAAUGCUGCACACCAGGCGUUUGAUGAUUAUUCUCAAAGAAUCUAAAUUAUUUUUAGGAUUUGGGAUUUGAUUUUAAAUUGUGGGUACAUAUUGUAUUUUUGCUGCAGUGGUUUUCCUCCUGUGUUGUUGAGCCAAUAUGAUGGCCUCGAAUUCUUUGCGUAAACUAUUGAAGGUAAGUUUUUCGAAAGAUUAUGAAUAUUUUCGUGUCCUAAUUUUUUUGUAGCAUUUCUUACAAUUUGUUCUCUGAGGAAAUUUAUUGUUUUAUGUAUUGAGAAUUUGUGCUUAGACUUCUUCAAUUUAUUGACACUUGGUGUGGUACAUACGAGAAUGACUGAUCAAAACGCUCUCUCAUGAAUUUUUGAGUCCACACUCGGAAGCUUCCUUCCACUCCAGUCCCAAUCAUCUCUGAUCCCCGAUUUCGGGAUAGCUCCGGCGAGUCUCCGAAAAUCUCUGUUGCUGGAAGACGACAACACCUUUUUCACCACUGCCCUUUACUGUAACGAGAUUGUAUAACUCUUAUUUCUCUGUGCUGUGUUGUGCUGUGCUGUCUUUCUUUUGUGUUGACUAGCUGAUUUUGUGGGGGUGUUUAAGAUUGGUGGGAAAAGGCCAUGGGUGAGCCUUCUUCGUUAGUUUUUUAAUGAAGUUUUUGUUUUGUUUUUCUUUUAUAUAUUUGUUAAGCAUGUUGAAUCUUGAUAUUACUUUUUAGCAAUUUAUUAAGUUUAUAUAUAUAAAGAAAACAAAUUGUGUUGCUAUAUGUACAAUGAUUUUUUUAUAUAAAUAGAUAUAUAUAAUUCCCAUUUGGUGGAUUCAAAGAGAGCAAGUUAUGGAAAGGGGUUUUUACAGGUAAAAUUAGUAUUCACACACUCAUUUUCCUUUUUAGCAUUGUUUUUUUUCAGUAAAGUGGUUAAAUUUGUGGAUAUUUAAAUGGUUAGUGAAUAAAUUGUGAGAUUGUUGAGAGAUUUUCUGUUAUGAUUUGUUAGAGUGCAAUUAUGCGUGCAUUUAUUAUUUCUGGAUUUCAGAUUUCAUCAUGCUCAAUUAGUAUUUAAAUCAAUAUCGAUGGUAUGCAAUCAUUUAUUGCAUUCCUAACUGAAUAGAGUCUCAUUAGAAUAAUUUUUUUUUUUAAAAAAAAAGUCAUAUUUUUUAAAACUUUAUUAAAAAGACUCAUAUAAAAUAUAAUUUCCUCAAUUAUCGUAAAAAAAAGUGGAAACUUUGAUAAUUAUCCUUAGAAUAUAUCUGUUUUUUUUGCUACAAUUUCAAUUUGUAUUAGUAUUAAUGUUAUGUACAUAUGUAUUUUUUUUGUUACUAUUAGAAGAGUUUUAUAGCGAACCAAAAUUGGUAGAUUUGGAAUCAUUUAUGGGGUAAAUAUUUGACCUUUUAAUUUUAGAAACUAGAAAUAAAAUGAGAUAUUUUAUUUUCUUUAAUAUUUUUGAACGUGUAAUUAGAUUACCAUUUUCCUAUAUCAUUUACAUUCUUUUCUUAGCUGUGAGUUAUUACUUACCUAUUCUCAUAUAUGAAAAUAAAAUAAUUUUGUCUUCGUUGUUACUCAUUUAUUUUUAAUAGAGAGAGGUAUUGAGUUUUUGUUUUUAUUUUUAUUUAAUGGAAAAUUGGGUGGGAAUUCUAUUAUAUCUAGUAUUAUCUGAAAUUUGAGGCUCAACUAAUUAACUAGUUAUUAAUUAAUGUAAAAUUUCUUCAUCUUUUACAGAUUUUAAGUGUGUGAAGUAGGAAUUAAGAUAAUGAUAUAGUCAUUAAGUGUCAUUUUUGUUCUUCAAUCUUUCACAUGUGUCUCACUCUUUCUAUUAACCUCUUUCAUGCUUUGACAACUUUUCAGGUAAUUAAGAAAAUUAAUGAAAUCCCAAAAAAAAAGGAUUGCUCAACUCUUUGAAGCAAGAGGUGUAAUAAUUAAAGUAGUAUUGUGAUUAAGCUCUUCAAAAUUGUAGUAUAUAGCAAUCCUCCUUUUUGGUGUUAAUUUUAGCAAAGAAAGAAGGAGAUUAUGAAUAAAGACUUAGCCUUAGUUAUAGUGUUAGUCUUAACAAUUUUUGCAAGUGCGUGUCUUUUUUGGUUGAUGUGGCAUUAUAGAGUGCGAGUUCGAAAUAUUAACUAUUUCUUCAACCUCCGGAAAGAAGUGGCUAAUGAUGUUGCCGAAGAUGAUCUUCAACAUAAUCAUCAUAUUAUAGAGUUGGCGAUUCGUAAUAUGCACAAUAAUGUUAAUGUAACAACUACUAAUCCGAUUCAAAAAGAGGAUGAGAUAGCAAUGAGACGCGGAAUUUGGGUACAUGAAAUGCAUGAUACAUAUUUAAAUUUUUCUUAAUUAUUUUAUUUUGGUAAUGUGAAAUUGUGUUUGAACUAUAUACAUUAAGUGUGAUCAUAUUAAUUUUUUGGUA